rnacentral:rRNA from 1 species
GACGAACGCUGGCGGCAUGCCUAAUACAUGCAAGUCGAGCGAACAGAUGAAGUGCUUGCACUUCUGACGUUAGCGGCGAACGGGCGAGUAACACGUAAGGAAUCUACCUAUAAGCGGGGGAUAACAUUCGGAAACGGGUGCUAAUACCGCAUAAUAUUUUCUUCCGCAUGGAAGAAAAUUGAAAGACGGCUCUGCUGUCACUUAUAGAUGACCUUGCGGUGCAUUAGUUAGUUGGUGGGGUAACGGCCUACCAAGACGAUGAUGCAUAGCCGACCUGAGAGGGUGAUCGGCCACAUUGGGACUGAGACACGGCCCAAACUCCUACGGGAGGCAGCAGUAGGGAACCUUCCGCAAUGGGCGAAAGCCUGACGGAGCAAUGCCGCGUGAGUGAAGAAGGCCUUCGGGUCGUAAAACUCUGUUAUAAGAGAAGAACAAAUUGUAGAGUAACUGCUACAGUCUUGACGGUAUCUUAUCAGAAAGCCACGGCUAACUACGUGCCAGCCGCCGCGGUAA